rnacentral:rRNA from 1 species
CAUGCAAGUCGAGCGGUCAAAAUGAGGGGGCUUGCCCCUGAAAGACGAGCGGCGGACGGGUGAGUAAUGCGCGGGAACGCGCCCUUUGGAGGGGGACAACCUUGGGAAACCAGGGCUAAUACCGCAUAACCUCCACGGAGCAGAGCGGGGGAUUUCUUCGGAAACCUCGCGCCAAAGGAGCGGCCCGCGUCCGAUUAGUUUGACGGCGGGGUAACAGCCCACCGUGACUACCAUCGGUAGCUGGUCUGAGAGGAUGAUCAGCCACACCGGGACUGAGACACGGCCCGGACUCCUACGGGAGGCAGCAGUGGGGAAUAUUGGACAAUGGGGGCAACCCUGAUCCAGCGAUGCCGCGUGUGUGAAGAAGGCCUUCGGGUUGUAAAGCACUUUCGCAGGGGAAGAAACGGUGCGCUCUAACAUAGCGCGCAACUGACGGUACCCUGAAAAGAAGCGCCGGCUAAUUCCGUGCCAGCAGCCGCGGUAAUACGGAAGGCGCAAGCGUUAAUCGGAAUGACUGGGCGUAAAGCGUGCGCAGGCGGCCGCGCAAGUCGGAUGUGAAAGCCCCGGGCUCAACCCGGGAAUGGCGUUCGAAACUGCGCG